rnacentral:lncRNA from 10 species
GCGACAUGCACUGGCCUGGGCAGCUCUGCGCAGAUCUCAACCCGCGCCCGGAUUCUAAUUUUCAACCUCUUGGGGUUUUUUGUUUUGUUUUUUCCUUGAGGGAUUAUCAAGGGGUUAAGAAUGUGGGUUUUCUCCCCAAAGUGGGAGUCGGGGAGGCUGCGAGCCGAGAGGAAGGAGGCCCAACUCCCGAAUUGAGCCGGGCCGAGAAGUUGGGAGAAAAGGGUAGGGACUGUGACAGUUCUGUCCUCCGCCUUGCGCGUCUAGGCCAGCAGGCGACAUGAAAUUGAGGGCAAGGGUAUAAAAAGGUGCAGUCGAUUAGCUGACUUUCAAAAAGAAGGCCUCGUAAACUUUUUACAACCAGAUCAAAAUGGUCACUAAAAACAAAAGCAAAAUCUCGCCGUGCCCUGCCCUGCCUCCAGGGCCCGUUCUCCUGGCCCCGACUCCCGGGCGAGGGCGGCCACAGCUCCGAGCGCCACACCUUUGGCUUUGAGGGCGCUUCCCACUGAGUUGGCUUUUUGUGUCUUCUCCUCCUCUGCCCCCCAGCUCCACCGCCAAUUCUACUUUCCUUGAAGAAUUCAGGUCCGUUUGCCCUAGAAGCCGUACGAAUUUAACAGUUAUCAAAGCCGUUAGUUGUGAAAAUCACGUUUAAACUUGUGAAUUCUUUUUUUCAAAUGGUGAUGGGCGGGGCAAGGGAACGGGGGAUGUUUCUGGCUUCACAAUUUGAAAAUGAAGGGCCCGUUUGGUGGUUUGCAAAAGAAAACGGUGCUAACUGCUCCUUCUCCCACCCCCUUUAACCCUUGGCUGCAUCUGGAAUAGCCGCCUCCCUGGGUCCAGCGAGGAAGGGUCCUUUGCCCGGAGGUGGUGGAGGUGACGCACAGAUGUGGGGGGUCCCCGCAGACAGAGAGACGCCCUGGCCUCUGGUCUGCCCCAGCUGAGGCUCGGAAGCUAGCUCUAAGGAGUCUCUUUGCACGCUCAGAAUUCAGAACGGCACUAGUCCUGGAAAAGGAGGAAUUCUCUAAAAAGAUCGAGAUGGGUCUGUGCAGCUUGAGGUGAAAGUUCCCUCCCCAGGACUCCGCACCCACCUUGCUGGCUGGAUCUCAAGGUGCAGCCUCUCUUCUGGGUUUGGGGGGCUUGCUCUUCAGGAAGUAGAAGCAGAGGGUUCCUAACAACGCAGCCUGUUUACAGACCUGAGGACAAGAGCUUGUUUCCUGGUCCAGCCCAGCCCGGUGGGCCAUACACUCCUUAGAGCCUGGGACAGACUGCAGAGACACUGCAGUGGAAAACCAGUGGAACCUCGACUCUUUGCUCAUCCAUUAAAAGGGGCAUAAUCGACUAGGCAUGGUGGCUGAUGCCUGUAAUCCUAACACUUUAGGAGGCCAAGGUGGGAGGAACACCUGAGCCCAGGAGUUUAAGACCAGCCUGGGCAACAUAGUGAGCCCCCAUCUCUAUUUAAAAUAACAGUAAUGACCAUUGGAAUAAUCAUGCACAACGUAUAGGGUUGUCUUGGGGAUUAAGUAAGAUAAUAUCCCAGGUAAAUAAAGCGGUUCAUAUGCAAACUUAAGAUGUACAAGGCCAUGUGUCAAGGGCUAAGGAUACAGCCCUUUCCUCCUAGAUUUUAUGGACUAGUGGAGCAAUCAAUUAGACAUAAAGUUGCAACUUAGCGUUCUAAGCAAUGUUGGAGAGAGACAAUGAAGUCAGCACACAGGAGGAGCCUAACCCAAUCUGGGAGAUGGGAGACGGCUUCUUUCAGGGAAGGCUUCUCUGAGAAUCUAAGAGGAAUAAGAAUCUAGUUGGGGAGGAACCUCAUUGCAUGGGCGGGGAGGUGAGAGAGAACAUGAGAUAAUCAGAAGUGAAAGGAGUUUGGAAUGGCCACAACUUGUAAAGGUCCGGAGCGGAAGGAGCAAAAAAGAGGUGAGAUGGAGCUCAUGGAGGCCUUCUAGACCAUGUUAAAUGUCUAGGCUUGCAGAGAUGGGAGGAUCGAUGGAAGGUUCCAGGCCAGAAGUUCAAAACCAGAAUGGACAACAUAGUGAGACUCCAUCUCUACAAAAAAUUUAAAAAUUGACCAGAUGUGGUGGUGCACACCUGUAUUCCCAGCUACUCAGGAGGCUGAAGCAGGAGGAAUGCAUGAGCCCAAGAGUUCGAGGCUGAGGUAAGCUAUGAUCGCACCACUGCGCUCCAGCCUGGGAGACACAGCAAGACACCAUCUCUAAAAAAUAAUAAGGCUGGGUGCAGUGGCUCACACCUGUAAUCCCAGCACUUUGGGAGGCUGAGGUGGGGAGA